UUCCUACGGGGGCAGCAGUGAGGAAUAUUGGUCAAUGGGCUUACGCCUGAACCAGCCAAGUCGCGUGAGGGAAGACUGCCCUAUGGGUUGUAAACCUCUUUUGUCAGGGAGCAACGCCGGCUACGUGUAGCCGGACUGAGAGUACCUGAAGAAAAAGCAUCGGCUAACUCCGUGCCAGCAGCCGCGGUAAUACGGAGGAUGCGAGCGUUAUCCGGAUUUAUUGGGUUUAAAGGGUGCGCAGGCGGAGGCACAAGUCAGCGGUAAAAUCGCGGGGCUCAACCCCGCUCCGCCGUUGAAACUGUGUC
rnacentral:rRNA from 1 species